AAUAGAUGACGCCGUUGACUUUUUCUCACAUGUUUGACCAUUCGUCUUAUUCAAAAAAUUUACGUAAUUAUAAUUUAUUUUGUUAUGAAUUGUUUUAUCACUUAUAGUACUUGAAGUAUGAUUUGUAUCUUAUACAUUUGCAUAAAAUUUUUGAGUAAGACGAAUAGUCAAACAUGUGAGAAAAGUCAACGGCGUCAUCUAUU
rnacentral:pre_miRNA from 1 species